CAGCUCUACACCUGUUAGACCAGAUAGUACUCAUACAGGAGAGAGACAUCUCACACAUACAGAUGUUCUCUUCUCUCCUCCUCCAGGUCCCUCGCUCCAAGUGGGAGAAGGAGGACUACGAAUCAGAGGAAGAGGAAGGAGGGGUCAGGGUUCAACUACUCCGCCCCUUGCUCGCCCCCUCCCUCCCUUUCCCCCCCGGACCCCACGUCGCCGUGACAACGGAGACGGAGGCAGGGCGAUGGAAAGAGAGGGACUGUACCUUUCCCAAGCCGGAGAGAACUAUGUCCCCCUCUAGUGGCAGAGACAGAGAAGACGGCCUGCAGGAUAGGAAACAGUCCGGAGACCACAUACCUACUGAGAAAGACAGAGAGAUGGAGAGGGAGAGAGAUCGAAAGGGGUGGAUAGGGAGAAGGAGAGAGAGAAGGGGGUGGAUAGGGAGAAGGAGAGAGAGAAAGGGGUGGCUAGGGAGAAGGAGAAAGGGGUGGAUAGGGAGAAGGAGAGAGAGAAAGGGGUGGAUAGGGAGAAGGAGAGAGAGAAGGGGGUGGAUAGGGAGAAGGAGAGAGAGAAGGGGGUGGAUAGGGAGAAGGAGAGAGAGAAAGGGGUGGAUAGGGAGAAGGAGAGAGAGAAAGGGGUGGAUAGGGAGAAGGAGAGAGAGAAGGGGGUGGAUAGGGAGAAGGAGAGAGAGAAAGGGGUGGAUAGGGAGAAGGAGAGAGAGAAAGGGGUGGAUAGGGAGAAGGAGAGAGAGACAGAGCACCCUAAAGCCAGACCUCCUCCCUCGGUCCAUUCUUCCAAACCUUCCACGUUCCAUUCUUCCAAACCUCCUCCCUCGGUCCCUUCUUCUAGACCUCCUUCUGACCUGGUCAGAGAGACAGAUGAGGCAGCCUUCGAACCGGACUACAGCGAGGGAGAGAUCUCAGAGGGGGAGGAGGAGGAAGGAGAGAAAAAAGUGGGCGGACAGCGAGCGGUGGAGGGAGAGCCAGCGGUGCAUGGGGGCAGCAGCAGAAGUCGUAGCAGCAGCGCCAGCUCUGUCGGUAGCCUGGGCAACAAGAAAGACAAGAAGAAGAAGAAAGAUAAAAAAGAGAAGAAGAAAGAGAAGAAGAAACAGAAGAAAGACAGAAAGCAGAAGAGACUGGAGGCUGAGGAGGGAGAGAUCGCAGGACUGAAACACAAACACAAGAAGAAGAAGAACAAGGACAAUAACAGAGAGAGAGAAGAGGAGGAGGAGAGAAGAGGCGAAGACCAAAUGUCUAGCGUAGCCUUAUGAGACAUUUCGUCGUGAAGCGUUUUUUUCCACACGUUUCAGCCCAAGGCUCGUGGCCCAAACCUUAUUCCCUAACUAGUGCACGACUUUAAGGCUCGUGGCCCAAACCUAGUGCACUAAGAAGGGAAUUGGGCGCCAUUUCGGAGGAAAGAUAUUUGGUUUCCUUCCGAGCCUCCUGUCAGUGAACUGUAAAGGUCUCAAAGAGGCGUCACACAGCCUCUGCAUUCCAAAUACCAUCCUAUUCCCUAUAUAGGGCACUACUUUUGACGAGGGCCCAUAUUCCCUAUAAUAAUAGGGCACUAUGUAGGGAAUGUGGGUGUCAUUUGUGACGGGACCCCGUAGUGAAGACCAUAAGAGGACUCUGCAAGCUUGUUCACUUUAGUUCAACACUUUGUUUGGGGGGUUUUGUUAUUUUUUAUUUUUUUUGCUGAGGAUUUGAAUUAAUUUAAUGAAUUUAAGGCUGAUGUAUAAAAUAUUAAUUUUUUUUAGACUCUGCUCAACAUAGGCUGUUGCUUGGACGAGUCAAUUUACUUGAAUAAUGCUUUGAUUUUUAAUUAUUUUUUUUGUGUUUAAAAAAAAAAUGUGUAAUUGCUAAAACCUUGAUUUGUCCCUGUCCCCCACCGUCCUGUCCCCCACCCCAGGUUAUUUUUGAAGAGUUUCUACGACCUGGGAUGCAUCCCAAAUAGCAACCAGUUCCCGAUGUUGUGGACUAUAUACAAGAAUAGUGAACUAUUAUGGACACACACAAUAUACCAUCUUUCAUAUCAGAUAUGUAUUCUCUAGAGUGAAAACGUGUAGGAGGAGGAGGAGGGAAAAAAGCACUAUCGAGAUGUAAAUGACUGUUACUCUGCUGUAAGCAGACUGAGCAAGAGUGACCUAGAGGUAGUUGUUGGCCUAUGUUUUGCAAAAUUACUUCCCCCCCCCCCCCCCUAAAAUUCACCAGAUUUCCCAGAAAUCCCAGGUUGUAGGAUUCACAGAUUUCCUUCUUGAUUUCAGGAAUCUGUGAUUUUUUAUUUUUUUUUUUAUUUUUGUUGUUGUUGUAAAGUUACCAGAAUUGUUCAGCCCCUUAGUGGUAGUUGUGUCUUAUGAUACCUGAAUUAUAUUUACACAAUUCUGACAAUAUGUGAAUAUUGUUGUUCGUUGAGCGCGGACGGGGGUAGAGACACUGGAGGGUGUUAAAGGUCCAUGUCUUGGGUUUAAAAGGUUCCGUGCACUGUGAAGAUUCAUCAAAUUUGUUCCUUUUUAUUUUAAUUUAAAUUUUAUUUUUAGUUUUUGCAAUGACCUCUAUUUAAUUUAAACUACCAGCUGAAUGAACUGAACCGGAGGGACAUUUUUUUAUUUUAUUUUUUUCUCUUGUUUUGAAGAUAAUAAUAAAAUUAAUUCUUGCAACAAAAAAAAAAGAAAAUGUUCUCCAUUUUCUUGUUCUUUCCACCUUUUUUAGUUUUUACCCAGAAAUCAAAAGGGUGCUUCAAAUGUGGAUAACUUUAUAUUAAAGGGUCUGUAAUAAA
rnacentral:lncRNA from 1 species